UACGUAGGGUGCAAGCGUUGUCCGGAAUUAUUGGGCGUAAAGAGCUCGUAGGCGGUUUGUCGCGUCUGCUGUGAAAACUCAGGGCUUAACCCUGAGCCUGCAGUGGGGUACGGGCAGACUAGAGUGUGGUAGGGGAGAUCGGAAUUCCUGGUGUAGCGGUGGAAUCGCAGAUAUCAGGAGGAACACGGUGGCGAAGGCGGAUCUCUGGGCCAUA
rnacentral:rRNA from 1 species